CCUGGUGGCUCAGACGGUAAAGCGUCUGCCUGCAAUGCGGGAGACCCAGGUUCGAUUCCUGGGUCAGGA
rnacentral:tRNA from 1 species